rnacentral:lncRNA from 1 species
CAGGACACCCAGGACAAGUGAAAACAGAGCUGAAGAAGUGUAAGGGUUGCAGUACUUGUUGUCUUUUAGCUAAAAUAUUUAGAAACAGAAAGGAUAAGCGCACAGAGGAAUAGCAUAGCAGAAAUCAUGUGCCUUUCUUAUGUUAACCCUUCCCCUUGUCUAGACCCUAUUUGUCCAUAUGGGCAUGUCCAUAUAAAGACAAGACUCAGAAGGUUGGAUAGCUAUACUUCUUUGCCUCUGUUUUCAUGAAGCCGAGUCCUCUGUUCGCUUUGGUUGCCGCCACUAGCUCUGCUGCUGGGCUGCCCAUGUGUACGCAGAUGUCAUGAAAAUAUCAAGUUCCCUAAGCAGCUUGAACUGUGGGGAGGCUCAGAGAAGGGAGAUUUCCUGAGCUGCUGACUUACUGCGGGACUGACUCAGUAAGAUUCCAGGCACUAGACAGAGCUAGUUAGGAAAGGAAACAUUUCCUCUUUGCCUCUGCGGGGAAAAAGAAACUACUCUUCGGAUAGUCACCUGGCUCUAACACCGGAAAGGAAAGCGAGGCGGUGCAUCCCCCAGAAGAGCAGCAGGCAGGGCCACUGAGCAUCCCACAGCCACCAGCGGGGCUGUCCUGCUGUCCUUGCAGGAGUGCCCUGUCUCCCAGAAUCUCCUCCUGGUGCUAUCCCCACCCUGCCUGAAAGAAGUGAGGAGGAUGAUGGGGAGAGAGUCAGACGGGCUGGGGUUGGGAGGAGUGAGUGCCCUUGAUUUUUCUCUUAUCCAAAUUCAACUUUCAUUUUAGAUUUCCCUCCAACUCUUCAAAGCAAGCAUCGCUACUCUUAAUUUCUCAUACGGGACUACUUAGGGGCGGCAAAAGCCUCGUGGGACUGGUGGGGUUUCCUGUACUUUUAAUUGAAAUGAUUUCUUUGUGGGUUCCCAAAGCUAAACUGUCCUUGGUCACACUGGAAAGAAAUAAAGAAAAAUAAGUAUGAUUAUUGUACCAAGUAGUGGGAUUGCAGGUGAGGUUUUUCUUGUUUUUUUUUUUUUUUUUUUUUUUUUUUUUGAGACAGAGUCUUACCCUGUCACUCAGGCUGGAGUGCAGUGGCACAAUCUCGGCGCACAGCAACCUCUGCCUCCUGGGAUGAUGCCAUUCUCCUGUCUCUCUCCCCUCAAGGGGACGCUGAUUUGCCACCAUGUC